rnacentral:rRNA from 1 species
UACGAAGGGUGCAAGCGUUAAUCGGAAUUACUGGGCGUAAAGCGUGCGUAGGCGGUUUCUUAAGUCUGCUGUGAAAUCCCCGGGCUCAACCUGGGAAUGGCAGUGGAUACUGGGAGGCUAGAGUGUGUCAGAGGAUGGUGGAAUUCCCGGUGUAGCGGUGAAAUGCGUAGAGAUCGGGAGGAACAUCAGUGGCGAAGGCGGCCAUCUGGACAACACUGACGCUGAGGCACGAAAGCGUGGGGAGCAAACAGG